rnacentral:lncRNA from 10 species
CAGACUCAGAUUUGACACAAAUUUGGAAAUUAUCAGAUAGAGAAUUUAAAAUAACUAUGUUUUAGAUUUUAAAGACUCUAAUGGAGGAAAUAGUCAACAUGCAAAAAUAGAUGUGUAAUGUAAGAAGAGUGAUGGCAACUCUAGGAAACAAUCAAAAGGAAAUGCUAGAAAUAAUAAAAAUCACUGACAUAAAUAAAGAAUGUCUUCAAUAGUUUCAUCAACAGAACAAGUUUGAGGAAAGAAUGAGUAAGCUUGAAGAUAAGUCAACAGAAAUAAUUUCGAAAGUAUAAUAUACAUCUAUUUGGAAUACCAGAAGGAGAAGAACAAGAACAAGAAACUAAAGAAAUAUUUGAAGUAACACUGUCAGAGGAUUUUCCCAAAUUAACCACAGCAAAUCACAAGUCAAGAAGUAGAGAACAGUAAACAGGAGAAAUACCAAAACAAUUAUACACAAACUUCAGAAAACCAAAGACAAAAAGAAAAUCUUCAAAGGAGUCAGAGAAAAAGUAACCUGACUUACAGCAAAACAGGACAAGAAUUAAAUUAGACUUCCCAUCAGAAACACAGAAGCAAGAAGACUGGAGUGAAGUAUUUAAAUGCUAAAAUAAAGAAAAAAAUACAAACUUGAGAAAUAAAGACUUCCUCAGACAAAUGCUGAGGGAAAUAAUCACCAUCAGACCUUCCCUGUAAGAAAAUAUUAAAAGAAGUUCCUCACGGAAAAGGAAGGUGAUAAAGGUCAGAAACUCAAAUCUGCGUAACAAAGGAAGAGUGCCAAAGAAGGAAUAAAUAAAGGCCAUGGAUUGGUACCUGUCCAUUGCUCAAGGGUUGAGGACCUCUGGCUUAGAUGAAAUGCAC